CGAAAAAUCCAAAUUAAAUUCCAUGGUUUUUUAGAAAUGAUUUCACGAUAGUAGGAGCGAGUACGAAGCUUGGAAAAGUUGUGGAAUUAGUUCGAACGAUUUUAUUUUCGAAAACGAACGUUUUUAGGGGGUCAACAAAGUUGACUUUUUAUACGUUCAAAAUUUGGGAAAACUUCCUUCAUGAAAGUUGUAGAGCUCGUCGAUACGAGUUCGUGGACAUGUGGAACGCAUUAUUUGGAGUUCGUAUGAAUAAGUUAUGAAUAUUUUAAAAUUGAGAAUUUUCUAUAAAUACAAAAAAUCAGAUUUCUCAAUAAGGAAACCCGAAAAUUUCCAGAUUUUUCUCCUCCUCGCUGCCUUGGCUUCACGGCGUCGCCACGACUUCAUCCGGCCACCUAUGGCCAUGAAAUUGAUAUCAAUCUCUUCGCCUUGAAACCAGCUUUCCAUUCAUAUAUGUCUUGCAUCCUAUCAUUCACCAUAGACAACGAAUCGAAGCAAAGAAGGUCAGACCAUUUUUCAUGCAUUUCUUCAAAUUCCAGCCAACUCCGGCAAAGGUAGGAGGGGAGACCAACUGGGCUUUGUUCGCCUUGCCAUGCUCUAUAAACUCACCAAGUUUCACAUCUCGAUUCAACCCGAGGAAGACGAAUUUCAGAUUUGAGCGAUUUUGGGCGAUUUCGGCCUCUUUCUUCUUGAGGUGAUUGGCGGAUUGAUUUGGCGGACGAUUCGUAAAAUCGUUGUUGAGCUGUUUAGAAGACGCAGCGGGAUUAUCGAGCGGGUAAUCCUACAGGACAGGAGAACCAGGACGGUGAUCGUGCGGUUAGAGCAAUUGUUAGAGUUUUACAACAAUUGUAAGUUGUGAGGUGUGUUAUGCUCAUUUGAGCUUUAUAAUAUAUUGUGAGAGUGAAUUGUAAUAAUGAACUCGAAGUUUCGAGAUUUGGUUUUUUUGUAAUUGUAAUUAUUCAGGUUUCGGAUUUGAAUUUAUCAUUCAAAAU